GCCUGAGGCAGGCAGCAGUUCCUUUAGGCUCUGGUUUUGCGCGUAGGCAGCCAGGACCAUCGGGCUGAUCAGACACUUGCCCAGCAAGUCGGUGACCGUCAAGCCACACACGAGCACAUAAAAGACCGAGGGCGGCGGGUGUAGUGGCCCUGGCCGGCAAGACCCCAGUCCCGAGCGCGCCAGCAGCACCAGCGCCAGAAGAUUGCCCAGAAGCCCCGCACCGAAGAGCACAGCGCCCAUCGUCGCCGAGGAGCCCCUUUCCACCCAGGUGGAUGUCUGACAGCGAUAGGACUCGUUCAUAGCCCUUGUCCCGUCUGACUGGAAGAAAGGCUGCAGCCAGGCCCGCUGUGAAGGAGCCCCAGGCUGCUCAGGGCGCAGCUAAGGCACAGAGGUUGUGCAGCAGAGAGAGCUCCACUGGUGGCUGGGUGUUAUUCACAGUCAGCCCUCCUAUCUAGGCUCCUCAGUCACACCCUUGAGGAAGGCAGGACUCCACCCCUUAUCGUGCGUACUAUGGAGCCUUUAAACUUGAGAACAGAGCUGAAGGAGACUCAGAAGACCUCCAAGCCUUGCGUUUCCUGUCUGUGAUUUCCAUAGUGGACCCCUGGAUCUUCAUCAUCUUCAGGACUUCAGUAUUCCGGAUGUUAUUUCACAAGGUUUUCACAAGAUCUCUGAUCUACCGAAACUGGAGCAGCCAUUCCCGUCAAAAUAACGUGGAUUAUACUUUGUGAGGGCUUUGCAUGGUCUGGUAAGCUGAAAAUACAGCACACAUUCAAAGAACCUUGUUUGGGAAAGCCUUACAAUUUAAAUCCUUAACAAAAUCUCCCAUGAGGAACUGAUGAGAUGUCUCAGCACUUAAGAGCACGUACUUUUUCUUCCAGACGGCCUGGGUUUGAUUCCCAGCACCCACAUCAUGGCUUAUCAGAUAGUACAAAGAGAUACCACUUUUAACUCCAGUUCCAAAGGGAUCUGACACCUCUAGCCUUGAUGUGCCCCUGGACUCGUGUGCAUAUAACCACACACACACACAUGCAUGCACACACAUACACACAAACUUAAAACUAAUAAAAGUAAAUUUAAAAUGUUUCCCACAGUUAAGUCAUCUCUUUUCAAAGGUAUCUGAUUUAACUAUAUUUUCUCACUCUGUAUCUAUAAACUGUUUUGGUCCUUUUAAAAAGUCUGUGUUCUUAACAGCAACUAAGAUUUGUAUAUUGUAAACAAAGUUGACGGUGUUAUGGCAAUGAUCUUAAUCAUCCCAACAUUUGUACUGGAUGGUCUUAAAUUUUAAAGCAGUCUUAAAAACUAUGAGUUUUUAUGAAAAUAUAGUACUGCUACACUAUUUGGGUAUUCUUGAACAAGUCAAGCAAUGGCUCACACAUUUUUUUCAAUAAAACCUCUUAUUUUGUAUC
ensembl:processed_transcript